rnacentral:rRNA from 1 species
UACGUAGGGGGCAAGCGUUGUCCGGAAUCAUUGGGCGUAAAGCACGCGUAGGCGGCCCGGUAAGUCCGCUGUAAAAGUCCAGGGCUCAACCCUGGGAUGCCGGUCGAUACUGCCGGACUAGAGUUCGGAAGAGGCGAGUGGAAUUCCCGGUGUAGCGGUGAAAUGCGCAGAUAUCGGGAGGAACACCAAUGGCGAAGGCAGCUCGCUGGGACGUUACUGACGCUGAGACGCGAAAGCGUGGGGAGCAAACAGG